AUGGAUCUGAGAACGCUGUCUGGGCUUGGUGCCAAGUGCUGGUAUUUCACAGCAGCGACCGCCUCACAGACGGGCUGUGGGAAGCAGGAGGGAGACUCUCUUAGGGUGCCACUACUAUGGAGACACAGCUGGGCUGAACAAGAUUUGCUUCAAACGACAACAAGAGAGACAGAAAGUAUCUGGUUCAACCGCUGCCCAGGCAGGCAGGCACCAGAAGAGCUAGCAGCCAAUCCGGCCAUGCUCGAAGCCAGCUCUGCAGCUCAGCCAAUCAGUGACAUCACUGAUCUUUUGGAAUAUUACUGGGAUAACUGUCCAAAUGAAGUUCCAAGUACUCUAUACAAAUGUCUACAGAUGCACGGCUGGUGGUGUGGCUCAGACGGAGCAAGGGUUACAUCAAGGCUGUUCUCUGGACCGUGCAAACAGUCUAGACCAAUGACCUGCAGCAUCAUGCCCUUUGAAGAAGAGGCAAGUUCGGUCAUGAUGAAGAAAAAUCAAGGCGUACCCCCUUUAACAAUAGGGAGCAGCUCGAGGCUGCAAAGAGGUAAGCAGGGUACGAAGAAAACGGCAUCUGCUUCCAUGGUUACAGGCCAACUAUGAGAACCUUGCUUUUCAAGGGAGUCUGUUCUCAGGCUCCCUCACGGGGUAUGUCAUGCAUUAUAAGCAAAGGCAGGUUGAGUUGAAAUCCGCAUAGUUAUUUCAGAGUAAAAUGAUACGGAGCACAUGGCUGGCAAAAAAAAAAAAAAGUCACAUGACUGUUAAGAACCAGACUUGGACUAUUUCAGAAUAGAAUUUUUUUUCUUAUGCCAGUUUAAAUAAAGCGAGUAAAUUUGUAUAAAACAAACAGUGAUGAUAAAUAUGAUUUUCAUUUCUCAGGCUGUCUGUGAGCAGAGGUCAAGGGUCAAGAUAAUACCCCUCAUCCUGUGGCAGGACCAUACAUACAGCCUAUUGUUAAGAUAACUUUAUGAUGAAUAUGCCUAUUUUUGCCAGACUGUAAGACAGAAUAUAUGUUCUUGUGAAUCUCUCUCUCUCUCUCUGACGUGAUUCUCUUUGAUUUCCUGCUCUGGAUCUUCCCAGGUUUAUGUUCAUUUCCAUGGUCAGUUCUCAUGAGGGGAGGUAGGAGGUUUGGUGAGAAACUUUCUUGGUGUGGAAGUGAAAGCUAAGGAAGGGUGGAGUGUCCUCUGCCUUUUGAAAUAUACUUAUAUUGAAUUCAAAUCUAUGUCAAAAUCAUUAGUCUCUGACAGUAAUUCUGUUUCUAAUUCAUAUAUGUAUAUCUUAUUCAUUGUUUGAUAUAUCGGUCCCAUAGCUUUUUUUCUUUUUUGUGGGAUAUUUAGUUAUUAAACUUGGAUUUUUUGAUAUGAUACACUAGCAGCUAACACUAUGGAAUAAAAAUUUGACAAAUAUAAAAUGCAGCAUAUACUGUAAUAUUUAGUAUCAUCUACUGUAAUAAUUUUGAAAAAUGCAGAUAUGAAUGAUUAACAUAGGUAAAACAUUCUUCUUACAAUGUACCAUAUCUGAAUACUAGAAGAGCUCAUAUUUGGUUUUCUUCCAAUGAUAUACAACUAACUCUAGAUGUACCACGCAGUUUAUCCUUUGAGCAAUUUUUGAUUGCAAGCAUAUUAUUAAAAUUAGGGAACAAAAAAGGAAAGACGGUUCCAGAGGGCAAGGUAUAAAACAACUUUCAUUACAUUUAUUUUUCAGAAGCUAUGUAUGUCGCUAUAAAAUGAACACCAACCAUAUGGCCCUGUGUAUGUAGCUAUUAAUUACAAAUACUUACCUCAAAGGAAAAUUACCUUGUAGCUUUACAAAUGCGAUUAAGUGUUGCUGCCCAUGAUAGCAACAAUUUUGUGCUCUCAAUCCAAAAUCAGAAGGUAAUUUUCUGAUGUGCUCCUCCAUACUGAUGCUGUAUGUUGAGCUAGGUUCAUGGCUAGAGGUAUGCAAGUGGUUUUGUUUCUUUCAGUGUGAUGAGAUGCAUUCAUUUCUGUGCUUGCAUAGAGAGGAUAGCAUAUAAGGUAAAAAUUGAACUACUGAAGUGUUGCUAUUUUAGUAUAUAAUAAUCCAUACACUAUUAGAAGCAAUGUCAUGUUAUAGUUUCUUUAAAUAAUUUACGUACUGUUAAGAUAAUUCAACAUCAGUUUCUUUCAUGAGACAACAGAUCAUACUUGCUGCCAAAGGUCAAAUGCCAGCUAUUUCUUUUGUGGAAAAGCUACCUCUCAAUUCUCCAAAGGAAAAACAAAACAAAAGCAAAUGCACUUAGGUUUACAUAUUGCAUGAUAAUUUGUGGCUUGUGGUUAAAGAAAAAAGAGGCCAUUACAUGAAAUUUGUUGCAAAAUAGAUGGCUGGAUUCUUGGGGUUUUUGUUUGUCUGUUUUUUCAGUUAACAUUUAACCAUUAGUCUUGCUCUUUUGUUUUUCAAAACAUAUUCAAUUUUAUAAAUAUUUAUGUGUGUACACAAAUUGCACUAACUUGCCAAAUGUGGAUAUAUGCUAAACACUUGAGACAUUCUCAUAGACUCAGAUUGGUGGUUAUUAAAAUGCUAUUAUUUUAACACAUUAAUAUGCAGGUAGAUAUUUAGUAUUGAGUAUUUAGAGGGGAAAACAACAGCUUCUUUCCUUAAGAAAAGUUCUCUAUAUCUGAGGUAAUAAAUAGCUGUGUGAUAUAUCCAUACUACAUAUAGUUUGCAUCAAAAACUCCACUCAAAUAACAAGAUGUGUUAGAUUUAAACAUUCUUUAGAAUUAUACUUUAGAAUAAUUAAUUAUACUUUGCUCUCCCUGUGGCAAAUUUUUUAAAAAAAGAACUAAAAUUGGCCUUGCCUACUGGAGACUUACUCAUAUAACUAAGAUAAAAGGAUUACAAUUUUCAGUGCCUUGGUGUCUGAUAGUGCUUUGAGUAUAGUAGAUGCUCAGUAAAAUAUCUCUCAAAUAAAUAAACCUGUAUUUGCAUCAAAGCAUUAAUUAUCUAAAUAUAAUUCAAUCUCAUGAAAUGUAGGGCAGAAUCUUCUCUUCUUACUUGUAUAUCUUUCUUUACCUUUUUCUUAUGACCUUUCUAUACAAAUAAGUACUUUUUGUUAGUGAUCUGUGAUUGCUGAAUACCAACUACGUGUCUAGUGAGACUAGAAGUGUGUAACCAGAGCCACAUUUUCCAAAUGGGAUUCUAUGAAACACUAUUAUUCUGAAAGAUGCUGCUAGGUGUUCUGGGACAAAAAGAAAAAAUCCAGUGGUCAAAUAUGAGAGAGGUGCUAUAGUAAACAAUGUUAAAUAGAUUUGUCAUAUGAAAUACUUUUCAGGGCAUUCAAAAAACUAAGUAUGUAGUGUUGUCUCUAAGAGGGGUGUAUACUUGGCACUACUUUCCAAAGUUAUCAUUUUUUCAUAAAAUACCUAUUAACUUAUAUGCAUGUAUGCACUUACUUGCUUUUUUUCAUACAGUGUUUAUCAACUUAAUAUGACAUAAUUUCAAUGAUAUGCUGAAGCUGGCUAAAACCAGUCUGGAUGAGUCAAUUAUAACUAUUCUUUCCUAAAUUCCAUUUUGAAGAGGCAUCAUUUUCUUGCUUGAAAUGAGCUAUGGCAGGAGUAUUUGCUCCCUAGAAAUCAGCAAAGACUAUAAAUCAAAGCUCCCCCCAGCCUUUGUGUCAGAACUGGUUGUUAAACAUUUACCAGCACACCAUUAUCUAAAUCCUCUCUCACUCCAUCUUUGUAGGUAAGUUAUGACCACUAACAGGUCAAUAUAUUCAGAAAUUUUUUAUUUAUCAACCUGUCUAAAACAUAAAACUAUUUAAAUCAAUUAUGAAUUCUAUACCUAGAAGAGAGGGACAGCAAUGGAGAAUAAGAAAGACCGAUUUUUCUAAGCUUUUAUGUCAACAAGUAGUAUAGUUUAUCUUUCUGACUUCCCUAAUUUACCUGAUUAAACAUCUAUAUUUAUUCCUUUAUCUUUUUUUCUAACAAAAUAUUUAUAUAUUCUGGUAUAUAAUUGUCUACAUUUCUAAGUGAGUUCCUGACAACAGAUUUCUGAAAAUUGCUGGACAGUUUUUAAAUAUGUCUUUAACUUAGACUCACUUCAUUAUCAUCAAAUUUUUAUGAAACUGAGAUGAGGUAUCAAGAAAUAAUUUAUGCUUUUGUAUUGCAUGUCAUUUAAUUUCAGGCAUUUUAUCAAUUGUAUUAACUCUUUUGACCUCUUGGGUGAGAUUAUUAGGAGGACAUAAAAAUGGAAAAUCUGUGAGUAGAGAAAUCAAAAUAUGCAUUUUUGAGAGACAAGCCCCUUGGUUCCCAUUUAAUCUCUUAUAUAUUAAAUUACUGUAGUAGGUUAUAGCUAAAAAUAUUUAAAUAUGGUUGGGUUAUAAGUAUAGAUAUUUGGCUAAUAAAUGACCUAGAAUCAUAACUGGAUUCUUUUUUGCCCUUGUUGCUUGAAGAAAUGAGUUCUAUGGUGACAUGUUUUGAAAAGUCUCUGGGAUCUAUUUUGUGACAAUAAGUAGGAUGAUUUAUAUAACGGUUCUAAUUUACCUUCCCAAUCACAUGCACCCCAAACACUAUGCACUUCAGUUUACAUGGCUCUCAAAUUAGUUAAUUAGCCUGAGUGUCUAUUUUGGGGCCAAGUAUUGUGCUAUUCACCAGGAAUUCAAACAUGAUUAAUACAUGAUCUUUGUCCUUCUGGAGUCCACAGUCAAGUGUGAAAAGAAAGCAGCUUAAAUGGGCUGGUACCAUGAGGGAAAACCUUCUGAACCUAACUCUUGUCUACUUCCAAUCUAAUAUACAUCUAAAUCAUGAAUGCCAAGAAUUCUACAAAUUUAAUCCUGGAAUCUCAUAUAUUUUCUGGAUUCUACUCUCAGUACAUAAUAUGUGUCACAGAGUGCUUCAUAUUCACAAAUACAAUUAUGAACAGUACAGUCAAGAUGGCCAGAAUGUGAUUCUUCAUAUACACUCAAGUAAAGAGUAAGUGGAAACAGAUAAAUUACAGAAACUAGCUGAACAUCCUAUUUACAAAACAAGGAAGCAGUACACAUAAAGUCAAGAUGCUCAAACAAUCUACUAUUAUCAUGACAAACAUCAUUAUCAUAUGAUAUCAUUAUAAGAUAUCAGACAUUCAACUUAGAUGACAUUGUAUGUGUAUGAAAAAAAUGUGUGUUGAAUAGUCAUUAAGAUAUUUCUCAUAGUUGGAAAAUAUUAUAUUCCAUGUUUGUUGUCAUUUGAAUAUACUAAUAUCAUAUUAAUAUCAUGCUUCUGAGAAAUCGAAAGCCAAUCACAAGUUGUAAAAGGCUUUACUUUGUUGUCACAUCAACUAUAUUGGACAUAAUACAGUUUUAGCUCUGGAAAAAUCUCUUCUCUAUGCCACAUAACCUUCAACUCUUCUUUCCUUCAACAAUUACUUCAUGAUUUUGAAAACAUAUUAACGCAAAAUACUGACACAGGAAAGUAAAUUAUUUAAUAUAUGGUAUUUAGUGAAAAUUAUUAUGAUUUUUGAUAAUUUAUAAGCAGUAUUUAUAAAGUUAUAAGCACUGUGUCUUUCAUUUUUAGAAGGAAAAGUAGUCCUUUGAUAUGUUGCCUUUUUAUAAGCUAUCUUACAUUUUCAUAACAAAAUAUUACUUUUUAAACUUUUAAAUUUUUUAAACUUUUAAAUUUUUUAAAUUUCUAUCUUGAAUAUUUAGUUCAUCUUUCUGGACUUAACUAACUCUCCUCCCUUUUUAAAGUUUUCCUCUUCUCUCUGGAACAUCUUCAAUUCUGCUUUUCCCUCCUUCUUAUCCACUCCCAUUCUUUUCUGUUUCCUUUAUAAUUUUACUGAGGAAAAAAAAAACAAAAAAACAAAAAAAAAACAAUGGCAAUGGGAAAUUUAAAAAAUAUAUACAGAAAUCUUCACACUCUAAAACUAUAGUAAUUGACUAUGAAACUACGCUCUGAAUUUUCAACCUCUUUUUUUUAAAUGAUUUGUCUCUAUUUUACAAAAUGCAAAAUAAAACAACUUCUCACCCUUUCGAAAGGGGAAAUGAACUUCCCGCUCUUUCAGUUGUUCAUCUGCAUCAUAAAGGUGUUUAUGUGUUUAUUAUAAACCAUAUUUAGACUCCAUUAUUGCCUUGCUUUACAAAAAGUAAUGUUUGUUAUUACUCACAUAAGAUCACCAGAAGCAAUUUCCCUUAAUUAGCAUGUCACAGACGUCAUAUUUUUGUUGAGUCAGUUCUACUUAGCUAUUGUGUGUGUGUGCAUGUUUGUGUGUUAACCCCUAGAUGUUAACAUGUGUUGAAAUAGGUAUCUUUCAAUACCUUGUUUAUACGGAUGGAUACCAACUAUUGUGCUUGCUAUAGUACCUUGUGUUCCUUUUAGUAUUCUUUUUUCUCAAAGACAUGAAAGAAUCCCUAAUAUGCCCAAAGAAUGCUCAGAUUGGUGUUAUUCAAAGAGACUUCCUUUAAACGUAUUUUUUUUUAAAUUUAAGGGCCAGGAGUUCCCGUCAUGGCUCAGUGGUUAACGAAUCCGACUAGGAACCAUGAGGUUGCGGGUUCGAUCCCUGCCCUUGCUCAGUGGGUUAAGGAUCCAGCGUUGCCGUGAGCUGUGGUGUAGGUUGCAGACGCGGCUCGGAUCCCACGUUGCUGUGGCUCUGGCGUAGGCUGGCGACUACAGCUCCGAUUAGACCCCUAGCCUGGGAACCUCCAUAUGUUGUGGGAGCGGACCAAGAAAUGGCAAAAAGACAAAAAAAAAAAAAA
rnacentral:lncRNA from 1 species